rnacentral:rRNA from 1 species
UACGUAGGGUGCGAGCGUUGUCCGGAAUUAUUGGGCGUAAAGAGCUCGUAGGCGGUGUGUCACGUCGGCCGUGAAAACUUGGGGCUUAACCCUGAGCUUGCGGUCGAUACGGGCAUGACUGGAGUUCGGCAGGGGAGACUGGAAUUCCUGGUGUAGCGGUGAAAUGCGCAGAUAUCAGGAGGAACACCGGUGGCGAAGGCGGGUCUCUGGGCCGAUACUGACGCUGAGGAGCCAAAGCGUGGGGAGCGAACAGG